rnacentral:rRNA from 1 species
CUACGGGGGGCUGCAGUGGGGAAUAUUGCACAAUGGGCGCAAGCCUGAUGUAGCAACGCCGCGUGAGCGAAGAAGGUCUUCGGAUCGUAAAGCUCUGUCCUUGGGGAAGAAACAAAUGACGGUACCCAAGGAGGAAGCCCCGGCUAACUACGUGCCAGCAGCCGCGGUAAUACGUAAGGGGCGAGCGUUAUCCGGAAUUAUUGGGCGUAAAGAGUACGUAGGUGGUUUUGUAAGCAUGGGGUGAAAGACCGAGGCUCAACUUCGGUUAGCCUUGUGAACUGCAAGACUUGAGUGCAGGAGAGGAAAGUGGAAUUCCUAGUGUAGCGGUGAAAUGCGUAGAUAUUAGGAGGAACACCAGUGGCGAAGGCGACUUUCUGGACUGUAACUGACACUGAGGUACGAAAGCGUGGGUAGCAAACAGGAUUAGAUACCCCUGUAGUC